UACGAAGGGGGGCUAGCGUUGCUCGGAAUCACUGGGCGUAAAGGGCGCGUAGGCGGCUCAUGAAGGCUGUGGUGAAAGUCCGGGGCUCAACCUCGGAUCGGCCGUGGCGACUCGUGGGCUGGAGCACUGUAGAGGCGGGUGGAAUUCCGGGUGUAGCGGUGGAAUGCGUAGAGAUCCGGAAGAACACCAGUGGCGAAGGCGGCCCGCUGGGCAGUGGCUGACGCUGAGGCGCGACAGCGUGGGGAGCAAACAGG
rnacentral:rRNA from 1 species